rnacentral:rRNA from 1 species
UACGAAGGGGGCUAGCGUUGUCCGGAUUUAUUGGGCGUAAAGAGCUCGUGGGCGGUCUGUCGCGUCGGAUGUGAAAACCCAGGGCUCAACCCUGGGCCUGCAUUCGAUACGGGCAGACUAGAGUAUGGCAGGGGAGACUGGAAUUCCUGGUGUAGCGGUGAAAUGCGCAGAUAUCAGGAGGAACACCGGUGGCGAAGGCGGGUCUCUGGGCCAAAACUGACGCUGAGGAGCGAAAGCCAGGGGAGCAAACGGG